rnacentral:lncRNA from 1 species
UGCUGUGGAUCUUGGUCACUUUCCUGCUGCCGGAUGUUAUUUUACUGACUGUUACUCUAAGUAGCAAAGGUUCAUCGCUAUUGAGACACUACAGAACUCCUUCAUAUUAUGCAUAGCUGAUUGCCAUUUUAUUCUAGCAUGAACCUUUUUUUUUUUUUUUUUUUGCUGUAUACUAAACAGAAAACACUGGAGGCAUGUAUGUUGGACUGUAUUACAGAGUUAAAGCUAACUUUAAACUAUGUAACCUUUUAUGACUCAAUGUGCCUUAUUGUGUAUUGCUGUGAUAUAGCAAAAUAUGCUUAGAAAUUAAAACAUACAUUUGAAGCUUGGUUAUGAUAUUAUUUUUCUUAUAAUAUCAUAUGUAUUUUUUUAAAAUUUGCCUUUCAGGGACUAAAAAAAUUGAAAAAAAAUAAAGUUGAAAAUUUUAUUAGACCAUCUGAAUUUGUAUUUCAGGAGGUAUUUGCAUUCAGUGCCUUAAUAGUCCUAGAGCAUUUUAAUGUUUUAUCUUUUCUAAUGGUUAUAGGUAUAUAUGUUUUCAUUCUUUUGUAUUUGAAUAUUCUGUAUUCUAAAUAAAAUUGAUAAUCUUGACCAAUCUAUGUAUUUCCUAAAAUGUGUUGAAAUUGCUUCAGUUUUUGUUUUUCAUUGUCACAUAAUUUAUCCUUUGAUGCAGUAGAAAGUGGUGUGUCAUGACUUUUCUACAAUGUGUGAUGAUCAAAUCAGGGUUAAUUGGCACAGUUGCCAACUAACUAGCCCUUUGUAUUGAGAACAUUCAGAGUCAUCUCUACUAUUAAAAUGGAUUUUUUAAUCAGGCAUAGUUACUACACUGUGUUGUAGAAUAUUAGAAAAUUUUCAUCCCUGCACCUAUACUUGGCUUCCCCACCUCCCCUAUAUCCUUCCCAGCCUCUACUGUUACUGUUCUUUCCUUACUCUUCUGAGACUCGGGUUUUCUUCAGAUCCCACGUGUGGAGUGUGUCUUUCUGUGUUUGCCCCUCCUUGGCCACGCAGAUGAUAAGCUUUCUGUCUGAGGACUGAACAGCACUGUGUUAUGUGUGUACCUGCACUGCUUAGUCCCUUCUGUUCAUCCUGAACAGGCUGCUCGGCUACUUCCAUAGCUAGAGUGCUGGAAAUAGUGCUGCAUGAAACAAGGGACUGCACAUGUCUCUUUGAUGAUGUACUGAGUUCAUUUCUACUGGCUGUAGUCCUAGUAGUAGAACUACCAGAUUAUAAUAUAAUUCUGUAUCUAUUAUGUUUUAGGAAAUUGUUUCCAUAAUGGUAAUACUCAUUUGUAUUUUCAGCAAUAGUAUAUGAAAGUUACUUUCUGUACAUCCUCACUAACAUUUGUUAUUCUUUAUUAAUUAUUAUUAUUGUUAUUAUUAUUGUUGUUGUAAACUACCUUACUAGCAUUUUUUUUAAUGAUCACUGUUCUAACUAGAGUGAGAUCUUGUGAUUGUGAGACAAUUUUUAUAUGCUUACUGGUCAUUAUAUUGCUUUUGAGGUCUGUGUAUUUGUUUUGUUUGCUCAUCUUAUCAUUGGAUAUUUAUUUAUUUAGGCCUCUGGUAAAUAGUCCAUUUUCGAAUGAUCAGAACGCUGUCUCUGUUGAAUAGAUCCCUUACAUCUGCUUCCUGUGCUCUGCUGAGCAUUUGAGUUUGGUACAAUCCCAUUUGUUCUUUUGUUGCCUGCACUUUUGGCAUCUUAUCUAAGCUGUCUUUGCUUGCCCUGAAUUGAGUCCCAUAUAACUUCUUCAAGUGGUUUCUUAAGUUUCAGGUUAAGUCUUUUUCCAUUUUUUGAGGUCCUUCCUCAUCCCCUUAUUGUUACAAAAAGCAAAUGGGCAAGAAAGCAAGCACUACCCAAGGCUGUCAGGUUUCAUCCAGGGCAGAAGUGCAUCCUAGCACCCUGAUUAGUCCGGCCAGCCCUCAGUUGUUACAGUUUCAUAGGCUCAGCAGCUGUGUUAUUCUUGUGCAUUUGAUCUGCCUGCGUGCCUGUGGGCCAUGGUAGAGUUCUCAGUAGCAUUUCUUGCAGAAGCGAAACUGAUAAAGUUAAAGCAGAUACUUUGUAAGUGUCUGUUUUCUCAAGAUAAGGACAAGGGGGAUUUAGCUGAGCAAGUAAGAAUACAAAGGUGGAACUUGCAAGUAAAGUUUUAAUCCAUUCUAAUCCUCUGCAUCAAUGUAUAUAGUGGGUGAUGGGGCCUAGUGUUUUCUUCAUGUGGAUGUCCAGUGUUUCCAGCACGAUUGGGGGAGGGGGUAAAUUACUUAUCUGUUUGAGGGGUGGUUGGGCAUGGACCACAGUGGAUGUGGAGGGGAGAGACAGCUCAUGGGAGUUGGCUCUUCCACCAUGUUGGUCAGGCUUGGUGGCAAGCACCUUACCCCUGUGCCUCUGCUUGCCCCUAGAACCAUUUUUUUUUUUUUUUUGAAGAGAUGGUCCCUUUCCCAAUGGAUAUUCUUGCUGCUUUUGAAGAAAAACAAUCAGUUAUCUGUAAUGACCAGAGUAAUUUCUGGCUUCUUUAUUUGUUUCUUUAUUUUGCCCUUGUUUUGUUCUGAAGUUUUGGAGAUAAAUAUUUGUGAUGAAUC